CACACUAUCAUUAACUGAAUCCAUAGGUUAAUGAGGCGAACCGGGGGAACUGAAACAUCUAAGUACCCCGAGGAAAAGAAAUCAACCGAGAUUCCCCCAGUAGCGGCGAGCGAACGGGGAGGAGCCCAGAGCCUGAAUCAGUGUGUGUGUUAGUGGAAGCGUCUGGAAAGGCGCGCGAUACAGGGUGACAGCCCCGUACACAAAAAUGCACAUAUUGUGAGCUCGAUGAGUAGGGCGGGACACGUGGUAUCCUGUCUGAAUAUGGGGGGACCAUCCUCCAAGGCUAAAUACUCCUGACUGACCGAUAGUGAACCAGUACCGUGAGGGAAAGGCGAAAAGAACCCCGGCGAGGGGAGUGAAAAAGAACCUGAAACCGUGUACGUACAAGCAGUGGGAGCCUCUUUUAUGGGGUGACUGCGUACCUUUUGUAUAAUGGGUCAGCGACUUAUAUUCUGUAGCAAGGUUAACCGAAUAGGGGAGCCGAAGGGAAACCGAGUCUUAACUGGGCGUUAAGUUGCAGGGUAUAGACCCGAAACCCGGUGAUCUAGCCAUGGGCAGGUUGAAGGUUGGGUAACACUAACUGGAGGACCGAACCGACUAAUGUUGAAAAAUUAGCGGAUGACUUGUGGCUGGGGGUGAAAGGCCAAUCAAACCGGGAGAUAGCUGGUUCUCCCCGAAAGCUAUUUAGGUAGCGCCUCGUGAAUUCAU
rnacentral:rRNA from 1 species